GCCCUAAUGGUCUAGUGGUCAUGAUUUGGCACUCUCAUUGUCAAGACCUGGGUUUGUUUCCCAGUCAGGGAA
rnacentral:tRNA from 1 species